rnacentral:rRNA from 1 species
GACGAACGCUGGCGGCGUGCUUAACACAUGCAAGUCGAACGAUGAAGAAGAGCUUGCUCUUCGGAUUAGUGGCGAACGGGUGAGUAACACGUGACUAACCUGCCCCUUUCUCUGGGAUAACGCUCCGAAAGGAGUGCUAAUACCGGAUACUCACAUCGAGGCACAUGCCUUGAUGUGGAAAGUUUUUCGGAAAGGGAUGGAGUCGCGGCCUAUCAGCUUGUUGGUGAGGUAACGGCGCACCAAGGCGACGACGGGUAGCCGGCCUGAGAGGGCGACCGGCCACACUGGGACUGAGACACGGCCCAGACUCCUACGGGAGGCAGCAGUGGGGAAUAUUGCACAAUGGGCGAAAGCCUGAUGCAGCGACGCCGCGUGAGGGAUGAAGGUCUUCGGAUUGUAAACCUCUUUCAGUAGGGACGAAGCGAAAGUGACGGUACCUAAAGAAGAAGCACCGGCUAACUACGUGCCAGCCGCCGCCGUAA